rnacentral:rRNA from 1 species
CUUUACUGCAGCCUGGUAUUGGGUUCGGGCUUUGACUGCGCAGGAUAGGUGGGAGACUGAGAAGUGUGCCUUGUGGGGCACAUAGAGUCAACGGUGAGAUACCACUCUGUCAGAGCUAGAAUUCCAACCUUCACCCGUGAUCCGGGGAAGGAACCGUAUCAGGUGGGCAGUUUGACUGGGGCGGUCGCCUCCUAAAAGGUAACGGAGGCGCGCAAAGGUGUUCUCAGGCUGGUUGGAAAUCAGCCGUAGAGUGUAAAGGCAGAAGAACGCUUGACUGUGAGAGUGACAACUCAAGCAGGGUGGAAACACGGCCUUAGUGAUCCGACGGUAUGCGCGUGGAAGUGCCGUCGCUCAACGGAUAAAAGUUG